AUACAUGCAAGUCGAGCGAACUGAUUAGAAGCUUGCUUCUAUGACGUUAGCGGCGGACGGGUGAGUAACACGUGGGCAACCUGCCUGUAAGACUGGGAUAACUUCGGGAAACCGAAGCUAAUACCGGAUAGGAUCUUCUCCUUCAUGGGAGAUGAUUGAAAGAUGGUUUCGGCUAUCACUUACAGAUGGGCCCGCGGUGCAUUAGCUAGUUGGUGAGGUAACGGCUCACCAAGGCAACGAUGCAUAGCCGACCUGAGAGGGUGAUCGGCCACACUGGGACUGAGACACGGCCCAGACUCCUACGGGAGGCAGCAGUAGGGAAUCUUCCGCAAUGGACGAAAGUCUGACGGAGCAACGCCGCGUGAGUGAUGAAGGCUUUCGGGUCGUAAAACUCUGUUGUUAGGGAAGAACAAGUACGAGAGUAACUGCUCGUACCUUGACGGUACCUAACCAGAAAGCCACGGCUAACUACGUGCCAGCAGCCGCGGUAAUACGUAGGUGGCAAGCGUUAUCCGGAAUUAUUGGGCGUAAAGCGCGCGCAGGCGGUUUCUUAAGUCUGAUGUGAAAGCCCACGGCUCAACCGUGGAGGGUCAUUGGAAACUGGGGAACUUGAGUGCAGAAGAGAAAAGCGGAAUUCCACGUGUAGCGGUGAAAUGCGUAGAGAUGUGGAGGAACACCAGUGGCGAAGGCGGCUUUUUGGUCUGUAAC
rnacentral:rRNA from 2 species